UACAGAGGGUGCAAGCGUUGUUCGGAAUUAUUGGGCGUAAAGCGCGUGUAGGCGGCUUUGCAAGUCGGGUGUGAAAGCCCUCAGCUCAACUGAGGAAGUGCGCCCGAAACUGCAGAGCUUGAGUGCCGGAGAGGGUGGCGGAAUUCCCCAAGUGAGAGGUGAAAUUCGUAGAUAUGGGGAGGAACACCGGUGGCGAAGGCG
rnacentral:rRNA from 1 species